CUGUUCACCAACCCCCUCUCUGACUUAAGUAUCGGAGGAUUUUCGUCGGACACAACUCCGAUCUGUGAAGAUUUUGUCUUGCAGACACUUUUUAUCUGUGACAGGCGAUAGAGAGUUGGCCGCAAUAGAUUGGCGUGCCAGGUAGGAGAAAAGUCACAGUCAACCACAUCGAGAAUCAGAGCUCAACACUUGACUGGAUCAGCGAGACAGUCUUUCUAUCGGGAAGAUGUUUCUCCUCCCCCUCCAGUGACAGAGC
rnacentral:lncRNA from 1 species